rnacentral:rRNA from 1 species
UCCGUAGUGAACCUGCGGAAGGAUCAUUACCGAGUGUAGGGUUCCUAGCGAGCCCAACCUCCCACCCGUGUUUACUGUACCUUAGUUGCUUCGGCGGGCCCGCCAUUCGUGGCCGCCGGGGGCUCUCAGCCCCGGGCCCGCGCCCGCCGGAGACACCACGAACUCUGUCUGAUCUAGUGAAGUCUGAGUUGAUUGUAUCGCAAUCAGUUAAAACUUUCAACAAUGGAUCUCUUGGUUCCGGCAUCGAUGAAGAACGCAGCGAAAUGCGAUAACUAGUGUGAAUUGCAGAAUUCCGUGAAUCAUCGAGUCUUUGAACGCACAUUGCGCCCCCUGGUAUUCCGGGGGGCAUGCCUGUCCGAGCGUCAUUGCUGCCCAUCAAGCACGGCUUGUGUGUUGGGUCGUCGUCCCCUCUCCGGGGGGGACGGGCCCCAAAGGCAGCGGCGGCACCGCGUCCGAUCCUCGAGCGUAUGGGGCUUUGUCACCCGCUCUGUAGGCCCGGCCGGCGCUUGCCGAACGCAAAUCAAUCUUUUCCAGGUUGACCUCGGAUCAGGUAGGGAUACCCGCUGAACUUAAGCAUAUCAAUAAGCGGAGGA